rnacentral:rRNA from 1 species
CGGUAAUUCCAGCUCCAGUAGCGUAUAUUAAAGUUGUUGCAGUUGAAACGCUCGUAGUCUGAACUUAAUCCUUUGGGAAGAACCGCUCGCCUCUUUUGCUUUGUGCCGAAGAGAUACGACGGUCAUUCACCUUGAUGAAUCUAGAGUGUUCAAGGCAGGCUUAGCCUGAAUACUGCUGCAUGGAAUGAGAUUAACAUUAUUUACCUUUCUUUGGUUGAAGGUAAUGAAAAUAUCUUUAGAAACAGUCGAGGACACUUGUACUUGGCCGUCAGAGGUGAAAUUCUUGGAUCGGUCAAUGACAAACAAAAGCGAAAGCAUUUGUCAAGAAUGUUUUCUUUGAUCAAGAACGAAUGCCAGGGGAUCAAAGACGAUCAGAUACCGUCGUAGUCCUGGCUGUAAACUAUGCCGACUGGAGCUUCAUAGAGAUUAUAUAACUCUGUGAGGAUCCAGAGAGAAAUCAAAGUUUUUGGGUUCUGGGGGUAGUAUGGUCACAAGGCUGAAACUUGAAGGAAUUGACGGAAGGGCACCACCAGGCGUGGAGCUUGCGGCUUAAUUUGACUCAACGCGGGAAAACUUACCAGGUCAAAACAUGGCUAUGAUUGACAGGCUGAAAGUCCUUUCUCGAUUCCAUGGUUGGUGGUGCAUGGCCGUUCUUAGUUGGUGGACUGAUCUGUCUGGUUAAUUCCGGUAACGAACGAGACCUUGGCCUGCUAACUAGUUAAAUUACUUAUGUAUUUUAACUGCUUAGAGGGACAAUGUUGGUUACAUCACUGAAGCUCGAGGUAAUAACAGGUCUGUUAUGCCCUUAGAUGUCCUGGGCCGCACGCGUGCUACAUUGACACAUUCAGCGAGCUACUAGGUCGGCAGAUCUGGUAAAUCAGCAAAGUGUGUCUUGUAGGGACAGUUCCUUGUAAUUGUGGAGCUCUAACGAGGAAUGCCUAGUAAGUGCAAGUCAACAUCUUGUACUGAUUACGUCCCUGCCCUUUGUACACACCGCCC